UCGCCGUUGUAAUGGGGCAACGCGCCCAC
rnacentral:sRNA from 1 species